GAUGAACGCUAGCGGCAGGCUUAACACAUGCAAGUCGAGGGGUAUUGGUUUUCGGACCAAGAGACCGGCGCACGGGUGCGUAACGCGUAUGCAAUCUACCUUUUGCAGAGGGAUAGCCCCAGAGAAAUUUGGAUUAAUACCUCAUAGUAUAGUACUUUGGCAUCAAGGAACUAUUAAAGUCACAACGGCAAAAGAUGAGCAUGCGUCCCAUUAGCUAGUUGGUAAGGUAACGGCUUACCAAGGCUACGAUGGGUAGGGGUCCUGAGAGGGAGAUCCCCCACACUGGUACUGAGACAGGACCCAGACUCCUACGGGAGGCAGCAGUGAGGAAUAUGGACAAAUGGGCGCAAGCCUGAUCCAGCCAUGCCGCGUGCAGGAUGAC
rnacentral:rRNA from 1 species